CUAGGGACCUGCAUCUCCUGGACAGUCAGCCGAGUGUUUCCAUGAUACCAGCCAUACCUGAUGCCAGGAGACUCGCUACACUUGGAAGCUCUUCAAGGCAUGCUUAUCUUUGUGAACUGAAUCUUGGAGAAGCAGGAUUGAAAAUAAGAGCUAUCUUUGAGGCUCUAGCACCUACAAGAGACACCCUCCCU